ACGAACGCUGGUGGUAUGCUUAACACAUGCAAGUCGAACGGGCUUGUUUGGGGUAACUCAAAUAAGUCAGUGGCAAACGGGUGAGUAAUACAUAGGAAUCUACCUAGCAGUAAGGGAUAACCUUGGGAAACCAAGGCUAAUACCAUAUAUUACCCUUCGGGGGAAAGAUUUAUCGCUGUUAGAUGAGCCUGUGUCGGAUUAGCUAGUUGGUAGGGUAAUGGCCUACCAAGGCAAUGAUCCGUAGCUGGUCUGAGAGGAUGAUCAGCCACACUGGGACUGAGACACGGCCCAGACUCCUACGGGAGGCAGCAGUGGGGAAUAUUGGACAAUGGGCGCAAGCCUGAUCCAGCAAUACCACGUGAGUGAUGAAGGCCCUUGGGUUGUAAAACUCUUUUAGUAGGGAAGAUAAUGACGGUACCUACAGAAAAAGCACCGGCUAACUUCGU
rnacentral:rRNA from 1 species